rnacentral:lncRNA from 1 species
UUGUGUUAGCUUCGUUCUUACCAUCAGUAGUGUCUGUAUUAACAUGCUUGUCUUUUAUUUCUUUUCAGCAAGGAGUAAAUAAUGCUGAGAAAUUUGACUAUGUGAUGCAAUUUUUGAAUAAGAUGGCUGGUAAUGAAUAUGUCGGAUUCAGUAAUGCAACGUUUCAAUCUGAACGAGAAAGUGGAGACCGAAAUUUUGCAAUAGGAUAUUACUUAAAAGAAAAGAAGUGUUUUCCAGAAGGCACAGACAUGGUUGGGAUACUAGAUUUUUAUUUCCAGCUCUGUUCCAUUGAAGUGACGUGUGAGUCAGCAAGUGUGAUGGCUGCAACCUUGGCUAAUGGCGGUUUCUGCCCAAUUACUGGUGAAAGAGUGCUCAGUCCUGAGGCCGUUCGG